rnacentral:rRNA from 1 species
AGUAAAUAGAUACCCGGGUAGUCCACGCCGUAAACGAUGAGUACUAGGUGUAGGAGGUAUCGACUCCUUCUGUGCCGCAGUUAAACACAAUAAGUACUCCGCCUGGGAAGUACGGUCGCAAGAUUAAAACUCAAAGGAAUUGACGGGGCCGCACAAGCAGCGGAGCAUGUGGUUUAAAUUCGAAGCAACGCGAAGAACCUUACCUAGACUUGACAUCCCUCGAAUAACGUAGAGAUACGCGAAGCCCUUCGGGUCGAGGAGACAGGUGGUGCAUGGUUGUCGUCAGCUCGUGUCGUGAGAUGUUGGGUCAAGUCCCGCAACGAGCGCAACCCUUAUCAUUAGUUGCUACCAUUAGUUGAGCACUCUAGUGAGACUGCCCGGGUUAACCGGGUA